rnacentral:rRNA from 1 species
GGCGUGCCUAUACAUGCAAGUCGAGCGAAUGGAUUAAGAGCUUGCUCUUAUGAAGUUAGCGGCGGACGGGUGAGUAACACGUGGGUAACCUGCCCAUAAGACUGGGAUAACUCCGGGAAACCGGGGCUAAUACCGGAUAACAUUUUGAACCGCAUGGUUCGAAAUUGAAAGGCGGCUUCGGCUGUCACUUAUGGAUGGACCCGCGUCGCAUUAGCUAGUUGGUGAGGUAACGGCUCACCAAGGCAACGAUGCGUAGCCGACCUGAGAGGGUGAUCGGCCACACUGGGACUGAGACACGGCCCAGACUCCUACGGGAGGCAGCAGUAGGGAAUCUUCCGCAAUGGACGAAAGUCUGACGGAGCAACGCCGCGUGAGUGAUGAAGGCUUUCGGGUCGUAAAACUCUGUUGUUAGGGAAGAACAAGUGCUAGUUGAAUAAGCUGGCACCUUGACGGUACCUAACCAGAAAGCCACGGCUAACUACGUGCCAGCAGCCGCGGUAAUACGUAGGUGGCAAGCGUUAUCCGGAAUUAUUGGGCGUAAAGCGCGCGCAGGUGGUUUCUUAAGUCUGAUGUGAAAGCCCACGGCUCAACCGUGGAGGGUCAUUGGAAACUGGGAGACUUGAGUGCAGAAGAGGAAAGUGGAAUUCCAUGUGUAGCGGUGAAAUGCGUAGAGAUAUGGAGGAACACCAGUGGCGAAGGCGACUUUCUGGUCUGUAACUGACACUGAGGCGCGAAAGCG